rnacentral:rRNA from 1 species
GGAUAGAUAAGUUGGAAGUGAAAUCCUAUGGCUUAACCAUAGAACUGCUUCCAAAACUGUCUAUCUAGAAUAUGGGAGAGGUAGAUGGAAUUUCUGGUGUAGGGGUAAAAUCCGUAGAGAUCAGAAGGAAUACCGAUUGCGAAGGCGAUCUACUGGAACAUUAUUGACGCUCAGAUGCGAAAGCGUGGGGAGCAAACAGGAUUAGAUACCCUGGUAGUCCACGCCCUAAACGAUGCACACUAGUUGUUGCCUUGCUAGACAAGGCAGUAAUGCAGUUAACACAGUAAGUGUGCCGCCUGGGGAGUACGGUCGCAAGAUUAAAACUCAAAGGAAUAGACGGGGACCCGCACAAGCGGUGGAGCAUGUGGUUUAAUUCGACGAUACGCGAAGAACCUUACCUGGCCUUGACAUAGAGAGAACUUACUAGAGAUAGUUUGGUGCUAGCUUGCUAGAACUUUCAUACAGGUGCUGCACGGCUGUCGUCAGCUCGUGUCGUGAGAUGUUGGGUUAAGUCCCGCAACGAGCGCAACCCUCGUGUUUAGUUAAUAACGGUUCGGCCGAUGACUCUAAACAGACUGCCUGGGUAACCAGGAGGAAGGUGAGGACGACGUCAAGUCAUCAUGGCCCUUACGGCCAGGGCUACACACGUGCUACAAUGGGGUAUACAAAGAGCAGCAAUACCGCAAGGUGGAGCAA